rnacentral:rRNA from 1 species
GCAUGUUUUUGACAUUUGAAAAAUGGACUGCUCAGUAAUACUCACUUUAUUUUAUGUAAAUUUUUGAUUAAUUAACUACGUUAAAGUGUAGAUAAGAUGUUUACAGUAAGAGUGAGACCUAUCAGCUAGUUGUUAAGGUAAUGGCUUAACAAGGCUGUGACGGGUAACGGUAUUACUUUGUAAUAUUCCGGAGAAGGAGCCUGAGAGACGGCUACUAAGUCUAAGGAUUGCAGCAGGGGCGAAACUUGACCUAUGGAUUUUAUCUGAGGCAGUUAUGGGAAGUAAUAUUAUAUUGUUUCAUAUUUUAAAAGUAUAUGAGGUGAUUAAUUGGAGGGCAAAUCAAGUGCCAGCAGCCGCGGUAAUACUUGUUCCAAGAGUGUGUAUGAUGAUUGAUGCAGUUAAAAAGUCCGUAGUUUAUUUUUUUAAGAAGCAAUAUGAGGUGUACUGUAUAGUUGGGAGAAAGAUGAAAUGUGACGACCCUGACUGGACGAACAGAAGCGAAAGCUGUACACUUGUAUGUAUUUUUUGAACAAGGACGUAAGCUGGAGGAGCGAAGAUGAUUAGAUACCAUUGUAGUUCCAGCAGUAAACCAUGCUGACGAUGUGAUAUGAAAAUAUUAAUUUGUAUUACAUAAUAGAAAUUUGAGUUUUUUGGCUCUGGGGAUAGUAUGAUCGCAAGAUUGAAAAUUAAAGAAAUUGACGGAAGAAUACCACAAGGAGUGGAUUGUGCGGCUUAAUUUGACUCAACGC